GCUGUCUUCGAUCCAGAGAGCAGCGAGCUAACUUAUACUGCUAACAUUAACGUUAGUGCUUGGCCUCUCAUUCAAUAAUCUACUAUCUGUGAGUUAAUACCCCGGUGAUAAUUUCACAGACAUUGGUAUAAUAGACUUCAUGACUUGUUCAACAGCUACCUUGUUCCUUAUGAUUUGGCGUUUAUUUUGUACUUGUACAGAUCAAAGAAUAAAACGGAAAGAUGUGA